CGACAUUGUUAUUCAUCCGUGUCUUUGUCGCGAGUCGGGAAAUCGAAAGAUGCGAAACUUCAAGCGCACCGCCUCCCCGGGGGUAAAGGAGUGGAAGCAGCAGGAACAUGGACGUAAAGACCAGGGGAAUUAUCUAUAGAACUGAAGGUGGCCGUCACGACUUCCGCAGAAGUUGGCUCCUCUCCUUGUUCUGGUGGUGUUCGGCGUUGCCGGUCUUCCAGCCAUCAUCAAUCCACUUUUCAUUUUCCAUUUGUUUUGUCUUGUCUUCCCACACACCUGGUUUCAAUACCAUUCAUUACAUGUUGUGUAUUUAACCCUCUCUUCCCUCCAUGUCCUUGUCUGGAAUUGUUUAUUGUAAGUGCU